AAGAACCUUACCAGGUCUUGACAUCCUUUGACCACUCUAGAGAUAGAGCUUCCCCUUCGGGGGCAAAGUGACAGGUGGUGCAUGGUUGUCGUCAGCUCGUGUCGUGAGAUGUUGGGUUAAGUCCCGCAACGAGCGCAACCCUUAUUGUUAGUUGCCAUCAUUCAGUUGGGCACUCUAGCAAGACUGCCGGUGACAAACCGGAGGAAGGUGGGGAUGACGUCAAAUCAUCAUGCCCCUUAUGACCUGGGCUACACACGUGCUACAAUGGGAAGUACAACGAGUUGCGAAGUCGCGAGGCUAAGCUAAUCUCUUAAAGCUUCUCUCAGUUCGGAUUGCAGGCUGCAACUCGCCUGCAUGAAGCCGGAAUCGCUAGUAAUCGCGGAUCAGCACGCCGCGGUGAAUACGUUCCCGGGUCUUGUACACACCG
rnacentral:rRNA from 1 species